GUCGUCUUCACAUGCAGAUUGUGUAACAAAUGCAUGUAACAAACAAGCUUAAGUUUCGCCGAAUGUUGCUGUGAAAAUCACUGAUUCUUCGAGUGGUUACUAGUUUCUUCGAGAGGUUACCCUGUCUGGAGAUCUACUAAAAGAAACCAAAUUCCAUUGUAUUAAUUUUCUAAAACAUAUCAACGAUAUUGUGAUUAAUUUGGGGGGUGUUUAUUCAUAUAUUCAAUUCUACCCGAAGGAUUUUCUUUGUAUGCUAUUGCACUCACAAAAGAAAUCCCCCGGGCAGAACUGCAUAUAUGAAUAAUCACACCCCCAAUUAUCCUCCCAGUUUCGGCCCUGACCACUGGGUCGAGACAUUCCUGCUCCUGAUUCGAUUCUUCGAACGCGAGAAUGACGUCAUUCAUGAUUAUAGCAGCGCAGCCUCUCUUUUUGUAAAUCAUGGAUGGAAGUCUCUCUCUUCGCCCAGUCUCAGUGUCAUACAUGAUGACGUCAUUUAAUGCCUGAUCAUUCUUAUCCUAACCGCCAAUAACGAUAAUCAUAUAAGUCCGAGGGACUGUUGUUCGUAUGACGCUGUGGAGGUGGGAAGUUGAUCUCGUUUGUCUGUGUAGACAGGUGUUGCAGGAAUCAAACGAUCCCAGUGCCAAAGAUCAUAUUCGUGCAAGGUUAUCACGUGACUCAUUUUCAAGAAGUCAGCGAUUAUCUACUUUGUUUCAUUUGUCAGGAAAUUCCAAAGGAUUCAGACUACCAACACAGAGAUCAUGUAUUUUGUUUCACUCGUAUAUCACGACAUCUUCUCUCCUCUAACGAGGAUCAGCAGAGAUCCUCUGAUGCAGGAAACUUUUGGAUGACCGAAAGAUUUUCUCGGGGAAAUUGAUGAUGAUGAGCCAAGAAUUUCAAGGAAUAAUUCAAGCAUGAAUGGUGCUAGCGCUUUGGAUUACACAGGUUCAGUUAACAAUGAAGAUAUUAGACAAUAUUCGUGGUUUGUUUGGCCCAGGAUACGACAAGGUAUUAAAUUCUCUCGAGAAAUAUGGCAUGGGAGAAAAGAAGUCAACUCCGUUGACACAGUUAAAUCAUACUCGAGGAGCAUCAGCAUCACGUGUUUACAACAAUGAUAUCCUUGUCGUUGGUGGUAACCACGGCAACGAAAGAAGUGACAAGAUCGUAGUUUUGAAGAUGAACCAACAGCCUUUGCGAUGGACAAUGUUUUGGUGCUUAACGGACAGUCAAAUCAAAUACUCAUGACGUCAUAGCUUUUUAAAGAAAAUGAUAUAUAUAAUGGUAGGAUAUGAUUCGAAUGAAAGAAAAACAUUGAAUGCCAUUGAUGAGAUUGCUCCUACCUCACCUUAUACUGCAAAGCCACUGACGACAAUGACUGAGCCACAAAGCACAACUUGUUAAUGAAAAAUAUUUUCUUCGGUGUAACAACGACUAGGUCGGAUAUUAGUCCAUCGUUUAAUCAGCCUGUUAGUGACAUUUCCGCAGUCACUUGAGCUAAUAUGAUCAUUGUUUUGGUGGUGAGGAUAAGAGUGAUCAGACAAUAAAUGACGUCAUCAGUAUGGACACGGAGACUGGUCGAAGUGAGAGACUUCGACCCAUGAUUUACAAAAGGAGCGGCUGCUCUGCUGUCAUCAUAAAUGACAUGAUGUCUCAACUCAGUGGGAUCUUUCACAGGUUAUGCCUGUAAAGAACUGCCAGGAAUAAUACGAAAGAGAAAUCUUGAACCUGCAGUGAAAGCGUAGAUAAGGUACCAAGGAUUACUCCUUCCAUUGUCCGAAUGAAUAAAACUGUGUUCCGGCCUGCUUGACCCGAAGGGGGUAUUAUCAAAUAUUUUGACGGUCAAACAAAAAAAAUGUGUACCAAUAAUUUGAACCGUAGAAAACUCUUAAGACCAUUAAAUCUGCGACAUGGAAGCAUAAUAAAGAUCACUUGACACGGACAAAGUAACAAGCAAUGAAUUAUUGUCCAUCAACUAUCGAUACAAGAUAUGAAUAAAAUAUUAUAUUUACUCAAGUUGCGGAGCAAAAUAAGAGCCUGUUAGCCAAAGUGAUCUUUGAAAUACAUGUUAAGAGUCUGCGAUGAUUACUGGGAUGAUGAAUAAUUAAAUACAACGUCAUAUAAACGCCAAAGAAUCAGAC